rnacentral:rRNA from 1 species
AUUGAACGCUGGCGGCAUGCCUUACACAUGCAAGUCGAACGGUAACAGGUCUUCGGAUGCUGACGAGUGGCGAACGGGUGAGUAAUACAUCGGAACGUGCCCGANCGUGGGGGAUAACGCAGCGAAAGCUGUGCUAAUACCGCAUACGAUCUACGGAUGAAAGCGGGGGAUCGCAAGACCUCGCGCGGACGGAGCGGCCGAUGGCAGAUUAGGUAGUUGGUGGGAUAAAAGCUUACCAAGCCGACGAUCUGUAGCUGGUCUGAGAGGACGACCAGCCACACUGGGACUGAGACACGGCCCAGACUCCUACGGGAGGCAGCAGUGGGGAAUUUUGGACAAUGGGCGCAAGCCUGAUCCAGCCAUGCCGCGUGCAGGAUGAAGGCCUUCGGGUUGUAAACUGCUUUUGUACGGAACGAAAAAGCUCUCUCUAAUACAGGGGGUGAAUGACGGUACCGUAAGAAUAAGCACCGGCUAACUACGUGCCAGCAGCCGCGGUAAUACGUAGGGUGCAAGCGUUNUUCGGAAUUACUGGGCGUAAAGCGUGCGCAGGCGGUUAUGUAAGACAGAGGUGAAAUCCCCGGGCUCAACCUGGGAACUGCCUUUGUGACUGCAUAGCUGGAGUGCGGCAGAGGGGGAUGGAAUUCCGCGUGUAGCAGUGAAAUGCGUAGAUAUGCGGAGGAACACCGAUGGCGAAGGCAAUCCCCUGGGCCUGCACUGACGCUCAUGCACGAAAGCGUGGGGAGCAAACAGGAUUAGAUACCCUCUUUAGUCCACGCCCUAAACGAUGUCAACUGGGUGGUUGGGUCUUCACUUGACUCAAAUGGGUANAUAUGCGAAGGAACNCCGAUGGNGAAGGCAAUUCCCCUGGGCCUGCACUGACGNUCAUGCACGAAAGCGUGGGGAGCAAACAGNAUUAGAUACCNUGGUAGUCCACGCCCUAAACGAUGUCAACUGGUUGUUGGGUCUUCACUGACUCAGUAACGAAGCUAACGCGUGAAGUUGACCGCNUGGGGAGUACGNCCGCAAGGUUAAAACUCAAAGGAAUUGACGGGGACCCGCACAAGCGGUGGAUGAUGUGGUUUAAUUCGAUGCAACGCGAAAAACCUUACCCACCUUUGACAUGUACGGAAUCCUUUAGAGAUAGAGGAGUGCUCGAAAGAGAGCCGUAACACAGGUGCUGCAUGGCUGUCGUCAGCUCGUGUCGUGAGAUGUUGGGUUAAGUCCCGCAACGAGCACAACCCUUGCCAUUAGUUGCUACGAAAGGGCACUCUAAUGGGACUGCCGGUGACAAACCGGAGGAAGGUGGGGAUGACGUCAAGUCCUCAUGGCCCUUAUAGGUGGGGCUACACACGUCAUACAAUGGCUGGUACAAAGGGUUGCCAACCCGCGAGGGGGAGCCAAUCCCACAAAGCCAGUCGUAGUCCGGAUCGCAGUCUGCAACUCGACUGCGUGAAGUCGGAAUCGCUAGUAAUCGUGGAUCAGAAUGUCACGGUGAAUACGUUCCCGGGUCUUGUACACACCGCCCGUCACACCAUGGGAGCGGGUUCUGCCAGAAGUAGGUAGCCUAACCGUAAGGAGGGCGCUUACCACGGCAGGGUUCGUGACUGGGGUGAAGUCGUAACAAGGUAACC